CCUACGGGGCGCAGCAGUGAGGAAUAUUGGUCAAUGGACGAGAGUCUGAACCAGCCACGUAGCGUGAAGGAUGACUGCCCUAUGGGUUGUAACCUUCUUUUAUAACGGCAUAUAACGAGGCAAGUUUGCAUUAUUGCUAGUACUUUAUGAAUCAGGAACGGCUAAAUACGUGCCAGCAACCGCGGUAAUACGGAGGAACCGAGCGUUAUCCGGAUUUUUUGUGUUUAAAGGUAGCGUAGAUGGGUUGUUAUGUCAGUUGGGAAAGUGUGCGGCUCAACAGUAAAAUUGCAAUUGAUACUGGUAGUCUUGAGUACGGUUGAGGUAGGCGGAAUGCGUGGUGUAGCGGUGAAAUGCUUAGAUAUCACGAAGAACCCCGAUUGCGAAGGCAGCUUACUAAACUGUUACUGACAUUGAGGCUCGAAAGUGUGGGUAUCAAACGGGAUUAGAUACCCUUGUAGUC
rnacentral:rRNA from 1 species